rnacentral:lncRNA from 1 species
GGUAACUCAACCAACUUUCAGUAUAAUUUUUAUGAAGAACUUUCAUUUCUUCAAUCAUGGCAAACUUCUAUUUGGAGUCAGUGAGUGCAUCAUGUAUAUGAUUAGGAAUAGAGACUGAUGAUAUUUUCGAGAUAUAGGAUUUGCAAGUAGGAGACAGACAAUCGUAUGACACAAUUAGAGAUAGGGUGUUUGGUACAUGAACUAACACCCUUACGAAUAGCAAUGAAUGCAUCUAAAUCUGAGAACUCAAUGAUAAUGGGAUGUGGGUUAGCUAAACCGGAGACAAUGAUAGUAGUGGUAAGAUCGCAGUGACCUUAUCUUUCAAUCUUUUUCGCUCAUACACCAGUAGCUAUUUAUCUGCCUUUUCCGGUUCUACCUUACCAUCUCUCAGAACUGAUUCAGCUUCAGGCAUUUUUGGUUGGAUCAUAAUAUAGGAAGGUACCCAUGUUUCUUCCUUCAUUUUCAUCUUCACAAGACACCACUUUAUCCUUGAUCUCCCCUGAAGUGGUGGCUGAUUGAAUGCGAAAUACGGUUGAGACUCAAAGAUGGUCAUAUCCAUGGAUAAGAGCAAG